rnacentral:rRNA from 1 species
AGGAAUAUUGGUCAAUGGACGAGAGUCUGAACCAGCCAAGUAGCGUGCAGGAAGACGGCCCUAUGGGUUGUAAACUGCUUUUAUAAGGGAAUAAAGUUAGUCUCGUGAGACUUUUUGUAUGUACCGUAUGAAUAAGCAUCGGCUAACUCCGUGCCAGCAGCCGCGGUAAUACGGAGGAUGCGAGCGUUAUCCGGAUUUAUUGGGCUUAAAGGGAGCGCAGACGGGAGAUUAAGUCAGUUGUGAAAGUUUGCGGCUCAACCGUAAAAUUGCAGUUGAUACUGGUUUCCUUGAGUGCAGUUGAGGCAGGCGGAAUUCGUGGUGUAGCGGUGAAAUGCUUAGAUAUCACGAAGAACCCCGAUUGCGAAGGCAGCUUGCUAAACUGUAACUGACGUUCAUGCUCGAAAGUGUGGGUAUCAAACAGGAUUAGAUACCCUGGUAGUCCACACGGUAAACGAUGGAUACUCGCUGUUGGCGAUAUACUGUCAGCGGCCAAGCGAAAGCAUUAAGUAUCCCACCUGGGGAGUACGCCGGCAACGGUGAAACUCAAAGGAAUUGACGGGGGCCCGCACAAGCGGAGGAACAUGUGGUUUAAUUCGAUGAUACGCGAGGAACCUUACCCGGGCUUAAAUUGCAGACGAAUUACGAGGAAACUUGUAAGCCGCAAGGCGUCUGUGAAGGUGCUGCAUGGUUGUCGUCAGCUCGUGCCGUGAGGUGUCGGCUUAAGUGCCAUAACGAGCGCAACCCUCGUGGUCAGUUACUAACAGGUUAAGCUGAGGACUCUGGCCAGACUGCCAUCGUAAGAUGUGAGGAAGGUGGGGAUGACGUCAAAUCAGCACGGCCCUUACGUCCGGGGCUACACACGUGUUACAAUGGGAGGUACAGAAGGCAGCUACCCGGCGACGGGAUGCCAAUCCCCAAAACCUCUCUCAGUUCGGACUGGAGUCUGCAACCCGACUCCACGAAGCUGGAUUCGCUAGUAAUCGCGCAUCAGCCACGGCGCGGUGAAUACGUUCCCG